UACGUAGGGUGCGAGCGUUGUCCGGAAUUACUGGGCGUAAAGAGCUCGUAGGCGGCCUGUUGCGUCCGCUGUGAAAUCCCGGGGCUUAACCCCGGGCCUGCAGUGGAUACGGGCAGGCUGGAGGCAGGCAGGGGAGAACGGAAUUCCCGGUGUAGCGGUGAAAUGCGCAGAUAUCGGGAGGAACACCAAAGGCGAAGGCAGUGUCCUGGGGAGUACCUGACGCUCAAGUGCGAAAGCCAGGGGAGCGAACGGG
rnacentral:rRNA from 1 species